rnacentral:rRNA from 1 species
GAUGAACGCUGGCUACAGGCUUAACACAUGCAAGUCGAGGGGAAACGCCGGGGAAGCUUGCUUCCCCGGGCGUCGACCGGCGCACGGGUGAGUAACGCGUAUCCAACCUGCCUCUGACUGAGGGAUAACCCGUCGAAAGUCGGCCUAAUACCUCAUGGCAUCGUCUGCGGGCAUCCAACGACGAUUAAAGAUUUCAUCGGUCAGAGAUGGGGAUGCGUCUGAUUAGCUUGUUGGCGGGGUAACGGCCCACCAAGGCGACGAUCAGUAGGGGUUCUGAGAGGAAGGUCCCCCACAGUGGAACUGAGACACGGUCCAAACUCCUACGGGAGGCAGCAGUGAGGAAUAUUGGUCAAUGGGCGAGAGCCUGAACCAGCCAAGUAGCGUGCAGGAUGACGGCCCUAUGGGUUGUAAACUGCUUUUAUGCGGGGAUAAAGUGAGGGACGUGUCCUUCAUUGCAGGUACCGCAUGAAUAAGGACCGGCUAAUUCCGUG